AGCCGCGGUAAUUCCAGCUCCAAUAGCGUAUAUUAAAGUUGUUGUGGUUAAAAAGCUCGUAGUUGGAUCUCGGCGGACUGAGGGCGGUUUGCUUGCUAGUAUUACUGCCCUAUAGUCCGUAGUUUUGCCAGAGGUUUCGGGGUGCUCUUAAUCGAGUGUCCCGGGAUGCUGGCAGGUUUACUUUGAAAAAAUUAGAGUGCUCAAAGCAGGCUAUUACGCCUGAAUAUUCGUGCAUGGAAUAAUAGAAUAGGAAGUCGUUUCUAUUUUGUUGGUUUUCGGAAAUCGACUUAAUGAUUAAUAGGGACAGUCGGGGGCAUUUGUAUUCAAACGACAGAGGUGAAAUUCUUGGACCGUUUGAAGACAAACUACUGCGAAAGCAUUUGCCAAGAAUGUUUUCAUUAAUCAAGAACGAAAGUUAAAGGUUCGAAGGCGAUUAGAUACCGCCCUAGUUUUAACCAUAAACGAUGCCAGCUAGCGAUCUGCGGACGUUUUUUUUGUAGACUCCGCAGGAAGCUUCCGGGAAACCAAAGCAUUUGGGUCCCAGGGGAAGUAUGGUUGCAAAGCUGAAACUUAAAGGAAUUGACGGAAGGGCACCACCAGGAGUGGAGCCUGUGGCUUAAUUUGACUCAACACGGGAAAUCUCACCAGGCCCGGACACUGGAAGGAUUGACAGAUUGAUAGCUCUUUCUUGAUUCGGUGGGUGGUGGUGCAUGGCCGUUCUUAGUUGGUGGAGUGAUUUGUCUGGUUAAUUCCGAUAACGAACGAGACUCUGUCCUGCUAAAUAGUGUCUGCUUCUCUUUUGAGCAGACAAUUCUUCUUAGAGGGACUGGCGACUCUUAGUCGCACGAGAUUGAGCAAUAACAGGUCUGUGAUGCCCAGACGAUCGCGACGCUUAAAUCA
rnacentral:rRNA from 1 species